CAGGGAUUGCCCUAGUAACGGCGAGUGAAGCGGCAACAGCUCAAAUUUGAAAUCUGGCUCUUUUAGAGUCCGAGUUGUAAUUUGCAGAGGGCGCUUUGGCUUUGGCAGCGGUCCAAGUUCCUUGGAACAGGACGUCACAGAGGGUGAGAAUCCCGUACGUGGUCGCUAGCUAUUGCCGUGUAAAGCCCCUUCGACGAGUCGAGUUGUUUGGGAAUGCAGCUCUAAAUGGGAGGUAAAUUUCUUCUAAAGCUAAAUAUUGGCCAGAGACCGAUAGCGCACAAGUAGAGUGAUCGAAAGAUGAAAAGCACUUUGGAAAGAGAGUCAAACAGCACGUGAAAUUGUUGAAAGGGAAGCGCUUGCAGCCAGACUUGCUUACAGUUGCUCAUCCGGGCUUUUGCCCGGUGCACUCUUCUGCAGGCAGGCCAGCAUCAGUUUGGGCGGUGGGAUAAAGGUCUCUGUCACGUUCCUUCCUUCGGGUUGGCCAUAUAGGGGAGACGUCAUACCACCAGCCUGGACUGAGGUCCGCGCAUCUGCUAGGAUGCUGGCGUAAUGGCUGUAAGCGGCCCGUCUUGAAACACGGACCAAGGAGUCUAACAUCUAUGCGAGUGUUUGGGUGUCAAGCCCGAACGCGUAAUGAAAGUGAACGGAGGUGGGAACCCGCAAGGGUGCACCAUCGACCGAUCCUGAAGUUUACGGAAGGAUUUGAGUAAGAGCAUGGCUGUUGGGACCCGAAAGAUGGUGAACUAUGCUUGAAUAGGGUGAAGCCAGAGGAAACUCUGGUGGAGGCUCGCAGCGGUUCUGACGUGCAAAUCGAUCGUCAAAUUUGGGCAUAGGGGCGAAAGACUAAUC
rnacentral:rRNA from 1 species